AAAUGUUGCAUAAGCCAAGGCAAGUUCAUUAUCAAGUCAAGUCAAUUUAUUUCAGCGUUUCUUUUGUACAAGAACAGAAGAAUGCUAGGACAAGCAUAAAAAGCUGCUGAGCUGCAGCUUGACUGGGUG
rnacentral:lncRNA from 1 species